rnacentral:rRNA from 1 species
ACACAUGCAAGUCGAGGGGAAACGACAUCGAAGGCUUGCUUUUGAUGGGCGUCGACCGGCGCACGGGUGAGUAACGCGUAUCCAACCUGCCCAUCACUUGGGGAUAACCUUGCGAAAGUAAGACUAAUACCCAAUGAUAUCUCUAGAAGACAUCUGAAAGAGAUUAAAGAUUUAUCGGUGAUGGAUGGGGAUGCGUCUGAUUAGCUUGUUGGCGGGGUAACGGCCCACCAAGGCUACGAUCAGUAGGGGUUCUGAGAGGAAGGUCCCCCACAUUGGAACUGAGACACGGUCCAAACUCCUACGGGAGGCAGCAGUGAGGAAUAUUGGUCAAUGGACGAGAGUCUGAACCAGCCAAGUAGCGUGCAGGAUGACGGCCCUAUGGGUUGUAAACUGCUUUUAUAAGGGAAUAAAGUGAGCCUCGUGAGGCUUUUUGCAUGUACCUUAUGAAUAAGGACCGGCUAAUUCCGUGCCAGCAGCCGCGGUAAUACGGAAGGUCCGGGCGUUAUCCGGAUUUAUUGGGUUUAAAGGGAGCGUAGGCCGGAGAUUAAGCGUGUUGUGAAAUGUAGAUGCUCAACAUCUGCACUGCAGCGCGAACUGGUUUCCUUGAGUACGCACAAAGUGGGCGGAAUUCGUGGUGUAGCGGUGAAAUGCUUAGAUAUCACGAAGAACUCCGAUUGCGAAGGCAGCUCACUGGAGCGCAACUGACGCUGAAGCUCGAAAGUGCGG